UACGAAGGGUGCAAGCGUUACUCGGAAUUACUGGGCGUAAAGCGUGCGUAGGUGGUUUUUUAAGUCCGUUGUGAAAGCCCUGGGCUCAACCUGGGAAUGGCAGUGGAUACUGGAAAGCUAGAGUGCGGUAGAGGGUAGUGGAAUUCCCGGUGUAGCAGUGAAAUGCGUAGAGAUCGGGAGGAACACCAGUGGCGAAGGCGGCUACCUGGACCAGAACUGACACUGAGGCACGAAAGCGUGGGGAGCAAACAGG
rnacentral:rRNA from 1 species